rnacentral:rRNA from 1 species
AACGAACGCUGGCGGCAUGCCUAACACAUGCAAGUCGAACGAGACCUUCGGGUCUAGUGGCGCACGGGUGCGUAACGCGUGGGAACCUGCCCUUAGGUUCGGCAUAACUCCCCGAAAGGGGUGCUAAUACCGGAUAAUGUCUUCGGCCCAAAGAUUUAUUGCCUUUGGAUGGGCCCGCGUUGGAUUAGCUAGUUGGUAGGGUAAAAGCCUACCAAGGCGACGAUCCAUAGCUGGUCUGAGAGGAUGAUCAGCCACACUGGGACUGAGACACGGCCCAGACUCCUACGGGAAGCAGCAGUGGGGAAUAUUGGACAAUGGGCGAAAGCCUGAUCCAGCAAUGCCGCGUGAGUGAUGAAGGCCUUAGGGUUGUAAAGCUCUAUUACCCGGGAUGAUAAUGACAGUACCGGGAGAAUAAGCCCCGGCUAACUCCGUG